rnacentral:rRNA from 1 species
AGAGUUUGAUCAUGGCUCAGGAUGAACGCUAGCUACAGGCUUAACACAUGCAAGUCGAGGGGCAGCAUGGUCUUAGCUUGCUAAGACUGAUGGCGACCGGCGCACGGGUGAGUAACGCGUAUCCAACCUUCCCCUUAGUAGGGCAUAGCCCGGCGAAAGUCGGAUUAAUACCCUAUGUUCUUCGUAGAGGACAUCUGAAAUGAAGCAAAGACUUGUCGCUAAGGGAUGGGGAUGCGUCUGAUUAGGUAGUCGGCGGGGUAACGGCCCACCGAGCCUACGAUCAGUAGGGGUUCUGAGAGGAAGGUCCCCCACAUUGGAACUGAGACACGGUCCAAACUCCUACGGGAGGCAGCAGUGAGGAAUAUUGGUCAAUGGACGGAAGUCUGAACCAGCCAAGUAAGCGUGCAGGAUGACGGCCCUAUGGGUUGUAAACUGCUUUUAUAUAGGGAUAAAGUCGGGGACGUGUCCCCGUUUGUAGGUACUAUAUGAAUAAGGACCGGCUAAUUCCGUGCCAGCCGCCGC